GUUUAUGAUAACAAAUAUGGAAAAAUGGACUUUUAAAAAUCAUGUAAAUUACAACACAAAAAUCAGAAAGCACAACGUUUAUACAAAAUCAUUCGGCCAACUUGCUGGCAAUUAAGUUGGGAUACAAUGUGCUCAGGGUGAAAACAAGAUCAGAAAUGAAAAUAAAAUAGCCACAAAAAAUUGGAAAAGUUUUGGUUUUGGUUUUCUUGAGUACCUGUACCAGCAAUUCAGCUGAUCAUUAAACACAACCAGAAAGAAAGGCUCUAUUUUGCCUGUAGAGAGUUCAUCCAGAGACUGCCCAAGGGAUUUGUACAGAAUAAAGCUUCACAAAACCCAAGGGCUGUCAGAGGGAAAUGGUAUCCAGGAGGACAGGGCAGGCCAAGUAUCCCCUCAACAGCAAAGCCACACUAGAAAGCCAGAGGCAGCACUGUGGCUGCCAACACAACCGCCUACCACGUCUGCCAAGGAGCCAGAAGCCGCUUGUGGGAAAAUAUCACUUACCCUUAGCAUCUGGGUCCUGUGAUUGUUAUCCAAAGAGACAGAAUGAGAAAAUUUGAAGAUUAUUAUUAUCUUAGAAAGUAAUAGCCUUCUGUUUUCGAGUCCAGUAAAAGGGUAAGAAAUGUAUUUUCAUUUUAAAUAUUCUGCUCUGAUACCAAUAACAAAAAAUAAUGCAGUUUUAAGUGUCAAUGGCAAUACAAUGUACCCAAAGAGAAAUUGUUUUAUGUUUAAUUUUAUAAUGUCAAUUCAAUUGUACAGUCUAACAGAGAGCAUUUAGAAUAACAAUCCCAUUUAUGUACACAGUGGAUUUAUUAUUAAAACUCUUGCUUUGCAUGAAUGAAAUUAAAAUUUCAGUGGCCUUUAGUGACUAAAAAUAUGUGUAUCGCAAGGUAAUAAAUCUAUAAGGUUGGUGCAAAAGUAAUUGCACUUUUUGCCAUUACUUUUAAUUGCAAAAAUCGCAAUUAUUUUUGCACCAACCUAAUAGUUGCUUAUUUGUACAUGUUAUGUGAGAUAAUGCAUAUGGAGCAGUAUAUGCUAUAAUAUACAUAAUAACAUGCACUUGAUUGUUUAUAAACAUAUUUCACACAUGCAUAAACUAUAUUGCAUGGGCAUUCAAUUUUUUAAUUUAUAUAAAUAGCAAAGUAACUUAGGAAAUUUUACCAUCUAAUGCUAACAUGAAUACAGUGUUCAAGAGAGAGAAAAAUUCUGUGGAUGUGCAAAACCGCAUGGUAAAUAAUUGAUAGGUUUUUGUUUAUUUUUCUUGUUUGUUAUUAUCACACAUACAAGGACAUUUGAUUCUAAUUGAUAAUUUUUUGAUUAAUGGAUUAUUUUCUGGUACCAAAUAAUUCUCAAAUUGAUUCAAAUUUAGUUUCAUUUUUAGAGUAGUUUUAUGUAAACUAGAUAAUAAUGAUGAAAAGUGUUUCUUUUAUAUUACAUCUUUAUGUAAUGGUGGAAGAGUCUGUGAAUUCAAUUCAG
rnacentral:lncRNA from 1 species